UGGGGAAUAUUGGACAAUGGGGGCAACCCUGAUCCAGCAAUGCCGCGUGUGUGAAGAAGGUCUUCGGAUUGUAAAGCACUUUCGACGGGGACGAUGAUGACGGUACCCGUAGAAGAAGCCCCGGCUAACUUCGUGCCAGCAGCCGCGGUAAUACGAAGGGGGCUAGCGUUGCUCGGAAUGACUGGGCGUAAAGGGCGUGUAGGCGGUUUACACAGUCAGAUGUGAAAUCCCCGGGCUUAACCUGGGAGCUGCAUUUGAUACGUGUAGACUAGAGUGUGAGAGAGGGUUGUGGAAUUCCCAGUGUAGAGGUGAAAUUCGUAGAUAUUGGGAAGAACACCGGUGGCGAAGGCGGCAACCUGGCUCAUGACUGACGCUGAGGCGCGAAAGCGUGGGGAGCAAACAGGAUUAGAUACCCUGGUAGUCCACGCUGUAAACGAUGUGUGCUAGAUGUUGGGUAACUUUGUUAUUCAGUGUCGCAGUUAACGCGU
rnacentral:rRNA from 1 species